CUAGAAGUCAACUCAGACUGAGACAGAGAGGGAGAGAGACCCAGUGAAGACCUUUGAAGAUCUCUAAAGAAGUGAAGCUACAACUGAAGACUUCAGAAGGAGACAAUCCCCAUGGCGAUGUUGACCACUCUUCUGCUUCUCAGCGCUGUCUUUGCUCUGGGAGAUGCAAGGGGUAGCAGAGGGGAUCGGCAUAAUCACUGUGACUCUGAGGAAAUCAUUCCUCCUCCGAAAGAUCCGUACGACUCAGAGGAAAACAGUUCUCCUUCGGAGGAACACAUUCCUCCUCCGACAGAUUAUUCUGAGUCGGAGGAACACAUUCCUCCUCCAACAGAUUAUUCUGAGUCGGAGGA